UACAGAGGGUGCAAGCGUUGCUCGGAAUCAUUGGGCGUAAAGGGCAGGUAGGUGGUCUCAUUUGUCUGGGGUGAAAGCCUUGGGCUUAACCCAAGAAGUGCCCCGGAAACGGUGAGACUAGAGUACUGGAGAGGGUCGUGGAAUUCCCGGUGUAGCGGUGAAAUGCGUAGAGAUCGGGAGGAACACCAGAGGCGAAGGCGGCGACCUGGACAGUGACUGACACUCAACUGCGAAAGCGUGGGGAGCAAACAGG
rnacentral:rRNA from 1 species